ACUGCUCAGUAACACGUGGAUAACCUACCCUUAGGACUGGGAUAACCUCGGGAAACUGAGGAUAAUACCGGAUAUAUAGAGGCGCCUGGAAUGGUCCUCUACUUAAAGCUCCGGCGCCUAAGGAUGGAUCUGCGACCGAUCAGGUUGUUGGUGAGGUAAUGGCUCACCAAGCCUUUUACCGGUGCGGGCCGUGAGAGCGGGAGCCCGGAGAUGGGCACUGAGACAAGGGCCCAGGCCCUACGGGGCGCAGCAGUCGCGAAAACUUUACAAUACACGAAAGUGUGACAAGGCUAUCCCGAGUGCCAUCCGCUGAGGAGGGCUUUUACCCAGUCUAGAACGCUGGGGGAAUAAGGAGAGGGCAAGUCUGGUGUCAGCCGCCGCGGUAAUACCAGCUCUCCGAGUGGUGUGGAUGUUUAUUGGGCCUAAAGCAUCCGUAGCUGGCUGAGUUAGUCCCUUGUUAAAUCCACCGAAUUAAUCGUUGGAUUGCGGGGGAUACUGCUCGGCUAGGGGACGAGAGAGGCAGACGGUAUUUCCGGGGUAGGGGUGAAAUCCUAUAAUCCCGGGAAAACCACCAGUGGCGAAGGCUGUCUGCUAGAACGCGCCCGACGGUGAGGGAUGAAAGCUGGGGGAGCGAACCGGAUUAGAUACCCGGGUAGUCCCAGCUGUAAACGAUGCAGGCUAGGUGUUUGGACGGCCACGUGCCGUUCUAGUGCCGCAGGGAAGCUGUUAAGCCUGCCGCCUGGGGAGUACGAUCGCAAGAUUGAAACUUUAAAGGAAUUGGCGGGGGAGCAG
rnacentral:rRNA from 1 species